CCAAUAGCGUAUAUUAAAGUUGUUGCAGUUAAAAAGCUCGUAGUUGAAUUUCGGGAUCAGACUGUCGGUCGUGCCUCGGUACGCACUGGCAUUAUUGGUUCCUACCUUCUGAAGAACCGCGAUGUCAUUAAUUUGGUGUCGUGAGGAAUCAGGACUGUUACUUUGAAAAAAUUAGAGUGUUUAAAGCAGGCGCACGCUUGAAUACAUUAGCAUGGAAUAAUGAAAUAGGACGUUUGAUUCUAUUUUGUUGGUUUCUAGGAUCGACGUAAUGAUUAAUAGGGAUAGUUGGGGGCAUUAGUAUUCAAUUGUCAGAGGUGAAAUUCUUGGAUUUAUUGAAGACUAACUACUGCGAAAGCAUUUGCCAAGGAUGUUUUCAUUAAUCAAGAACGAAAGUUAGGGGAUCGAAGACGAUCAGAUACCGUCGUAGUCUUAACCAUAAACUAUGCCGACUAGGGAUCGGAUGAUGUUAAUUUUUUAAUGACUCAUUCGGCGCCUUACG
rnacentral:rRNA from 1 species